rnacentral:rRNA from 1 species
ACGCCGUAAACGAUGCUAACUCGUUUUUGGAUUUUCGGAUUCAGAGACUAAGCGAAAGUGAUAAGUUAGCCACCUGGGGAGUACGUUCGCAAGAAUGAAACUCAAAGGAAUUGACGGGGGCCCGCACAAGCGGUGGAUUAUGUGGUUUAAUUCGAUGAUACGCGAGGAACCUUACCAAGGCUUAAAUGGGAAAUGACAGGUUUAGAAAUAGACUUUUCUUCGGACAUUUUUCAAGGUGCUGCAUGGUUGUCGUCAGCUCGUGCCGUGAGGUGUUAGGUUAAGUCCUGCAACGAGCGCAACCCCUGUCACUAGUUGCCAUCAUUAAGUUGGGGACUCUAGUGAGACUGCCUACGCAAGUAGAGAGGAAGGUGGGGAUGACGUCAAAUCAUCACGGCCCUUACGCCUUGGGCCACACACGUAAUACAAUGGCCAGUACAGAGGGCAGCUACACAGCGAUGUGAUGCAAAUCUCGAAAGCUGGUCUCAGUUCGGAUUGGAGUCUGCAACUCGACUCUAUGAAGCUGGAAUCGCUAGUAAUCGCGCAUCAGCCAUGGCGCGGUGAAUACGUUCCCGGGCCUUGUACACACCGCCCGUCAAGCCAUGGAAGUCUGGGGUACCUGAAGUCGGUGACCGUAACAGGAG